CAGAUACAGAACUGCCAUUUUCUCAACGAAAACUGCUACGCUUUUUCAUUUACUGCUUCUAGUUGCCUUGGGUCUUGGCACUGUAGAGUUCACCUGUUAAAAGAUCCCACUGCCUCACAGCACAGACGACAGCAGUUUUGAACCACACGAGUCCACUGGAGACAGCUGAACGAGGGUUGUUGUCUUCCCUUUGGAGAACGAGUAGGCGGACCACUCUCUCUUCAUUACCAUAUGGUGAUCAUUCUGAAUGUGUGAAUUGGACAAUGAAGAUUGCAGAACACUCAGUCAUGGAUCUCACUUCUCUAAAACCCAGUGAAUCAGGCAUCUUCUGGUCUAUUUGACUUUACAUCACUCAAGCAAGCCAUUGUAUUAUUUUUAGUUGACUUUCUAAAACAAAUUGGUAUUAAUGAUUGCAACUGAUUUAAUUUAGGAUUUGGAUGUUUUGCAUUUGGCCUUAAUGUAACAACUGGUGGCAAAAUGAACUGUUGUUGUCCUGGUAGCAGUAGACACCCUUUUCUACCAUAGCUUCCAUUAGCAGCCUUCAAGGCUCAAUUUAAUCUAAAAAACUGGAAGAUCAGUGGGUGUUACAGACAUUGUGUGUGUGAAUGCCUGUUUCUGUGCUUCAAGUCCUGUUUCUAUGACACAAUGAAACUGUGUAAAAGUGGGUAUGACUAAGAACAAGAUUCCUGUUAGUGUGCUUCUCAAGCACUCUGUCAAACCCACCUACAAAUACAGGUCUGUGAGGUGGCGUGCACCUUCUGCUGUUUACACAGGGGUUCUGAGUGUCCACAACGCAUGGAUUUGAUGUUCUUAAUGUCAUACCAGAUGUUUCUUCUCCAUAUUGUCCACAGAGGCCCAACAGUUAGUACAGGUACUGCAUGCUUUUAAGGAGACUUUGAGCUCAUCCUUAAAUCUUUUCCUUUGUCCCCUUGGUAAACUCUUGCCAUAAGAGAGGUCAGAAUAGAGGCUGUUUGGGGAAUUUGGUGUGAAUUAGCACAGUACCCUGCUAAUAGACAUGAAAUAGACGAAUAUAAGGUAGGGAAUAAAGAUACAGGAGGCAAUGUUCAAAGGACUGUCUGCAUGGUCUGAUUUAUCAGGAUGAACAACAUCAAAGUGGUAGACUGCAGAAAAGGGGAACGGAUGAUCUAGUUAGUGAUGUGUCAGUUAAGUUGGAAAGAUGAGUGAUUGAAAGAUGUCAGGAUUAAAAACUAGCACAGGAUAGGUCCUGGAAUAUGUAAUUUCAUGUACUGUAAAUACAACUAGUUUUAUUUUUUUCAUUUUCAUUGCUUGGAUUACAUUGAGUACUGCUACUCCUGAUUUUACUUGCCAAGAUUGAAAAUUAUUCCAGGAUCAUCCAGGAAUAAAAUGAUAAUCUCUGGCUUCUUUUCUCAGUGGUAAGACAUCUUCCUAAACCCCUCUUCCUGAUAUCUUCCACCUUCAAUUCUAAUACAAGUGUGAGGAACUAAUUGACUUUUUUUGUCAUUAUGGAGACCAUUAGAUUCCAUUUUUGAUUCCUUCCAUUGCUGUAGCUCUCAGGGGUAAACUGUCCCCGCUCAAAUCCAUAAUGAUUUUCUCCUAGAAAUCUACAUUUGACUCCUUCCAAUAAAAAUUUACAGCUUAUUUCCAAAUAACCUGCAGGAAAAGAGAGGGAUCUGAAAACAAGAAGGAAAUUUUAAAAAUUGAGGUCCUGUCAGUCAAGGAGUCAAUGUAUGUCAUUAAGAGCAUUGACUUUAUUCGUAUGACAACAAAUAAUACUCAGCCUUCUCUAGGGAUGAUUCUCUAGGUAAUUGGUCAGGCUUUCUGCUCCUAAUCACUUUCCAGUGACUCCAUUCCAGACUGCAGGGUUAAGUGAUGAGGCAUGUGCUGAAGCUUGAUGUAGCCAAUGCAAAGACUGCUGCUAAAGGUCCUUCUGCCACUAGAAACCAGUUUAGACAUUAGUAAAUACCUCUUAGAUCACAGAACAUGCUCACAGUACAAAUGUAGAUAACUGAUUACAUUGAGAAUGUAUAGACUGGGGAACACUACGAAUGCAAAGAAAACAAUGCACUGUUUAUUGUAUAUUUUUAUUUCUUAUUCCUAUUUUAUGAAUAAUGCUUAUUUUGAAAUUAAUGAAAAAAUAUGCAAUAAACUCAAGUGAAAAUAUUAUGCUUGAAUGUUGGCUGAGAACAGAAUUUAGAGUACAGGAAAUAUCUUCCUGCAGCUGAAUAGCAAGAAUCUCCAGUGAAUCAAAGUUUUUAUAUCUGAUGGUGCUUCGUACUUAUCAAAUUAUUACUCCAGCAGGAUGAUAAUACUGCGAGAAAUCAAUAAAGUUCUAAAUGAAAUUAACUAAGUGACAUUAAUAGUAUAAAUGACAGAUUUUGAGAGAGAGGAUAGAGUUUCAACAAAAUGGUUCUAAUGUCAAUAUUCUGAAAAUAAUAAACAGUACAUAGGGUAUGGACAGAGAUAUUAUUUAAACAUAAUAAAUUGCUUAAUAAUAAAGGAUACUCUAUGCAGCAAGAUGGCAUUCCCACUGAGAUCACAAUCUGCUGCUUAUUCUGCUUAUUGUUGUUUCCAAUUAUAAAUAACACAAAAUGUUACAUCAUUAUCCUAAACAACUCUUGGAACUAUUUCAAUCGUGGGCUU